rnacentral:rRNA from 1 species
CGGGUGAGUAACACGUGGAUAACCUACCUAUAAGACUGGGAUAACUUCGGGAAACCGGAGCUAAUACCGGAUAAUAUUUUGAACCGCAUGGUUCAAAAGUGAAAGACGGUCUUGCUGUCACUUAUAGAUGGAUCCGCGCUGCAUUAGCUAGUUGGUAAGGUAACGGCUUACCAAGGCAACGAUGCAUAGCCGACCUGAGAGGGUGAUCGGCCACACUGGAACUGAGGCACGGUCAAG